rnacentral:rRNA from 1 species
ACGCUCGACACCUACAGGCAGCAGUGAGGAAUAUUGGUCAAUGGGCGCUAGCCUGAACCAGCCAAGUAGCGUGAAGGAUGAAGGCUCUAUGGGUCGUAAACUUCUUUUAUAUAAGAAUAAAGUGCAGUAUGUAUACUGUUUUGUAUGUAUUAUAUGAAUAAGGAUCGGCUAACUCCGUACCAGCAGCCGCGGUAAUCUGAGCGGGCUGGCAAGGC